rnacentral:tRNA from 1 species
UAAGCAGAAGCCAAUUUUUGGGCGCCUAACUGUUAAUUAGGAAGUUGUAAAAUUCUUUUACCUGUUUAG